GAUGAACGCUAGCGGCAGGCCUCAUACAUGCAAGUCGAGGGGCAGCGGGACACUCCGGUGUUGCCGGCGACCGGCGGACGGGUGCGUAAUGCGCAUGCAAUCUACUUUACACUGGGGAAUAGCCUCCGGAAACGGGAAUUAAUACCCCAUAUAAUCUUAUUAGCGCAUGUUAAAAAGAUGAAAGCUCCGGCGGUGUAAAAUGAGCGUGCGUCCUAUUAGCUAGUUGGUGAGGUAAUGGCUCACCAAGGCUACGAUGGGUAGGGGUUCUUAGUGGAAGGUCCCCCACACUGGCACUGAGAUACGGGCCAGACUCCUAUGGGAGGCAGCAGUAGGGAAUAUUGGUCAAUGGGCGCAAGCCUGAACCAGCCAUGCCGCGUGCAGGAUGAAGGCUCUCUGAGUUGUAAACUGCUUUUGUACAGGAGCAAAAAAGUCCCUGCGGGGAUUCUUGAGCGUACUGUUAAGAAUAAGCACCGGCUAAUUCCGUGCCAGCAGCCGCGGUAAUACGGGAGGUGCAAGCGUUUAUCCGGUUUUUAUUGGGUUUAAAGGGUGCGUAGGCGGCUUUAUUAAGUCAGUUGGUGAAAUCCUAGUGCUUAACCGCUAGAACUGCGAUUGAAUACUAUUAGGCUUGAGUUACGAAGAGGUAAGCAGAAUUUAUGGUGUAGUAGUGAAAUGCUUAGAUAUCAUAAGGAAUACCAAUAGCGUAGGCAGCUUACUGGUCUUUAACUGACGCUGAGGCACGAAAGCGUGGGGAGCAAACAGGAUUAGAUACCCUGGUAGUCCACGCCGUAAACGAUGAUCACUCGAUAUACAUGAUACAUCAUGUGUGUCUAAGCGAAAGCGUUAAGUGAUCCACCUGGGGAGUAUACUCGCAAGGGUGAAACUCAAAGGAAUUGACGGGGGUCCGCACAAGCGGUGGAGUAUGUGGUUUAAUUCGAUAAUACGCGAGGAACCUUACCUGGGCUAGAAUGUGUUUUGCUACCUUGAGAAAUUGAGGGUUCCUUCGGGACGGAAUACAAGGUGCUGCAUGGCUGUCGUCAGCUCGUGCCGUGAGGUGUUGGGUUAAGUCCUAUAACGAGCGAAACCCUUUUACUUAAUUGCCAGCACGUAAUGGUGGGGACUUUAAGUAGACUGCCCGUGUAAGCGGGAGGAAGGAGAGGACGAGGUCAAGUCAUCAUGGCCUUUAUGCCCAGGGCUACACACGUACUACAAUGGCAUGUACAAAGGGAAGCUACUUGGCAACAAGAUGCAAAUCUCAAAAGCAUGUCUCAGUUCGGAUUGAGGUCUGCAAUUCGACCUCAUGAAGUUGGAAUCGCUAGUAAUCGCGUAUCAGCAAUGACGCGGUGAAUACGUUCUCGGACCUUGUACACACCGCCCAUCAAGCCAUGGGAGUUGGUAGAGCUUGAAGACAGUGGCCGUAAAAGGAGCUGUUUAGUGUUAGACCAGCGACUGGGGC
rnacentral:rRNA from 1 species